AGAGUUUGAUCAUGGCUCAGGAUAAACGCUGGCGGCGUGCAUGAGACAUGCAAGUCGAACGAACGAGCUUGCUCGUUAGUGGCGGACGGCUGAGUAACGCGUAGGUGACCUGCCCCGAAGUGGGGGAUAACUGCCCGAAAGGGUGGCUAAUACCGCAUGUGGCGACGCUUUCAUUGGCGUCAUCAAAGCCGCGAGGCGCUUCGGGAGGGGCCUGCGUCCGAUUAGCUCGUUGGUGGGGUAAUGGCUCACCAAGGCGACGAUCGGUAGGUGGUCUGAGAGGACGAUCACCCAGACUGGGACUGAGACACGGCCCAGACUCCUACGGGAGGCAGCAGUCGGGAAUUUUGCUCAAUGGGCGCAAGCCUGAAGCAGCAACGCCGCGUGCGGGAUGAAGGCCUUCGGGUUGUAAACCGCUUUUACCAGGGACGAUAAUGACGGUACCUGAUGAAUAAGUCACGGCUAACUACGUGCCAGCAGCCGCGGUAAUACGUAGGUGACCAGCGUUGUCCGGAUUUACUGGGCGUAAAGAGCGCGCAGGCGGUCGUUCAAGUCGAGUGUGAAAGCCCCCGGCUCAACUGGGGAGGGUCAUUCGAUACUGAUCGACUAGAAGGCAGGAGAGGGAAGCGGAAUUCCCGGUGUAGUGGUGAAAUGCGUAGAUAUCGGGAGGAACACCAGUGGCGAAGGCGGCUUCCUGGCCUGUUCUUGACGCUGAGGCGCGAAAGCUAGGGGAGCAAACGGGAUUAGAUACCCCGGUAGUCCUAGCCGUAAACGAUGGACACUAGGUGUUGGUGGUAUCAACC
rnacentral:rRNA from 1 species